GAACAGCAUGGGGAUUAGGCUGGGACAGGCAUUGAGGAAUGAAAUCCGUCACUUCCCAGAUUUCGAACGCAUCCUUAGAGUGCAUUACUUUUAUGUGCUUGCGUUCGGUCUUGGGAUUUCUCAGCAGAUGUCGCCAACAGUAGAGAGAUUGAUCUAGAAUGUCUCGUUAUCGGAAAAGUAUGGUAGCCAUACACCAAAUGGUUUUUGCGUUUAGCUACCAUAUUACUUCCGAUAUGACUGUUGACAUCACUGCCGAUAUGACGGAGCAGUGCAUUGGCAAUAUGCCAAGGGCAGUAACAUGCCGUCAGUCACGUCAGUCAUCGGUCUUGGCUAUCUGUAAGGAUCUUGGCAGGAAUCUUGGCCUUUUCUUGGACCCAUAGCCUCGGCCUUCGACCAAUCAUAUCGCCGAAUUCGCAAGCGGUGAGAGACAAAUACGGCGUGCCAAAGACAUAUUGGGUGUCUCAAAAUCACUGAGAACUCUGUAGCUCAAAACUUAAGCCCUGCACUCUUUUAGAUCUACCCCGUCACCGUUGAGUGGCAUUCUUGUGAAAAUUAUGUAAAGAUAUUUAUCAGAAUAAGGUAGAAGUGUAGGGGGUGGCAGGUGAGGUGCAGAAGAAGAAGAAGAAGAAGUUGUACCUAUCCAGUAAUUUUAUCUUGAUUUGUGGACUAGACGAAGACUAGAUUUUGAUGAAGAAAUCGACAAACUUGAACUGCAGGACUCGUGGCGCUGCUCGCCUCCUCGCCAAUGCGAAUG